GACGAACGCUAGCGGCGUGCUUAACACAUGCAAGUCGAACGGAAAGGCCUGCUUUCCCUUGUGGAUUGCGGGUACUCGAGUGGCGAACGGGUGAGUAACACGUGAGUGAUCUGCCCCCAACUUGGGUAUAAGCCUGGGAAACUGGGUCUAAUUCCCGAUAGGACUGCAGGGUGGUGCCUGUGGUGGAAAACGAUUUUCUAGUGGUUGGGGAUGAGCUCGCGGCCUAUCAGCUUGUUGGUGGGGUAAUGGCCUACCAAGGCGGCGACGGGUAGCCGGCCUGAGAGGGUGGACGGCCACAUUGGGACUGAGAUACGGCCCAGACUCCUACGGGAGGCAGCAGUGGGGAAUAUUGCACAAUGGGCGGAAGCCUGAUGCAGCGACGCCGCGUGGGGGAUGACGGCCUUCGGGUUGUAAACUCCUUUCGACCGCGAGGAAGCCACCUGGUUGGAAGGGUGGUGACGGUAGUGGUAGAAGAAGCACCGGCUAACUACGUG
rnacentral:rRNA from 1 species